rnacentral:rRNA from 1 species
AGAGUUUGAUUCUGGCUCAGAACGAACGCUGGUGGCGUGUCUUAUACAUGCAAGUCGAGCGAGGCAGCAAUGCCGAGCGGCGAACGGGUGAGUAACGCGUAAGCAAUCUGCCCCAUAUCAGGAAAUACCCGUGCCAACGCGCGGUUAAUGUCCAGGAGAGUGGCCCCCUGCAUGGGGGGUUGACUAGAGAUUUAUCGGUAUGGGAUGAGCUUGCGUCCGAUUAGCUAGUUGGCGGGCAACGGCCCACCAAGGCGACGAUCGGUAGCCGGCCUGAGAGGGUGAUCGGCCACAUUGGGACUGAGAUACGGCCCAGACUCCUACGGGAGGCAGCAGUAGGGAAUAUUGCACAAUGGGGGAAACCCUGAUGCAGCAACGCCAACCGUGUGGGAAGAAGCAUUUCGGUGUGUAAACCACUGUCAUGAGGGAAUAAGGCCCGCCUUCGGGCGGGAUUGAAUGUACCUUGAGAGGAAGCACCGGCAAACUUCGUGCCAGCCGCCGC